AAUACACUACUUCCGUCUGGAAAAGCUUGUCCCAAGCUUGUCCCUCAAAUGGAUGUGUCUAGCACUAACUUGGUGCUAGAUACAUUCAUUUGAGGGACAAGUUUUUUCGGACGGAGGGAGUACAUU
rfam:Triticum aestivum genome assembly, contig: Triticum_aestivum_CS42_TGACv1_scaffold_224499_3B